rnacentral:ncRNA from 1 species
CUCAUCAAGAGUAGUGGAGGGAUAGGCCCUGUGAAGCUACAGCAACCCUUAUAAAAGAAGGUGCUAAAUCCAACGGUCCUGUGACUGGUAGAUG